GAGUCAUAUGCUUGUCUCAAAGAUUAAGCCAUGCAUGUCUAAGUACAUACCUUAGCACGGUGAAACCGCGAAUGGCUCAUUAAAUCAGUUAUGGUUCCUUAGAUCGUUCUUUUUACAUGGAUAACUGUGGUAAUUCUAGAGCUAAUACAUGCAAAAAGCUCCGACCGUAUGGGAAGAGCGCUUUUAUUAGACCAAAACCAAUGGGGUCGCAAGAUCCCUUUGUCUGGUGACUCUGGAUAACUUUGUGCUGAUCGCAUGGCCUAGAGCCGGCGACGUAUCUUUCAAGUGUCUGCCCUAUCAACUUUCGAUGGUAAGCGAUUUGCCUACCAUGGUUGUAACGGGUAACGGGGAAUCAGGGUUCGAUUCCGGAGAGGGAGCAUGAGAAAUGGCUACCACAUCUACGGAAGGCAGCAGGCGCGCAAAUUACCCACUCCUAGAACGGGGAGGUAGUGACGAAAAAUAACAAUACCGGACUCAAUGAGGCUCGGUAAUUGAAAUGAGUACAGUUUAAAACCCUUAACGAGGAUCUAUUG
rnacentral:rRNA from 1 species